rnacentral:rRNA from 1 species
GGAGUUAGCCGGUGCUUCUUCUGUGAGUGAUGUCCUUCCUGCCGGCUAUUAACCCGCAGGCCUUCUUCCUCACUGAAAGUGCUUUACAACCCGAAGGCCUUCUUCACACACGCGGCAUGGCUGGAUCAGGGUUGCCCCCAUUGUCCAAUAUUCCCCACUGCUGCCUCCCGUAGGAGUCUGGGCCGUGUCUCAGUCCCAGUGUGGCUGAUCAUACUCUCAGACCAGCUACGGAUCGUCGCCUUGGUGAGCCGUUACCUCACCAACCAGCUAAUCCGACAUAGGAUCAUCCGAUAGCGCGAGGCCCGAAGGUCCCCCGCUUUCCCCCGUAGGGCGUAUGCGGUAUUAGCCUGGGUUUCCCCAGGUUAUCCCCCACUACCGGGCAGAUUCCUAUGCAUUACUCACCCGUCCGCCGCUCGCCACCAGGGAGCAAGCUCCCCGUGCUGCCGCUCGACUUGCAUGUGUUAGGCCUGCCGCCAGCGUUCAAUCUGAGCCAGGAUCAAACUCUGA